UCGAAAGCUUCCAUUUCUUAGACCUCCAGGUGGAUACUGAAAAUGGUGACUAUGUCACAAAUGUAUAUAGAAGCCAACAUACACCCCGGUGAUAAUACCGGCAUGGUCAGCAGACCCUAUCUCCUAUAAGUUGGCAAGCUUUCAGUUUAUGCUUGCCCGGGUUCACACACAUAUCACACAAUGGCAAGACAAGGCCCAAGAACUGCAGUAUAUUUUUGCUCUCGGACGACAAUAUGGUUAUGGAGAAAGCUCCAUACUUGGGAUAUGGAGAAGCAUACGUAGGUCUAUGCAACAAUCGAUAAUGGGCACUCCGGAAAUAACCCAGAACAUCGAUAUACGCCCUUAUAAGACGAUUACCUAUUACAGCAAUAUAGACGAAGCAUUAUGUAGGUGCAUUAAGCAU
rnacentral:lncRNA from 1 species